UAAAAAAGUGAAAAAUUUAUAUCAAAUUAGUAUUAGUUAAGGUCUUGAAAAUUAAAGAUUUUGGCGGUAUUUUAGUCUUUUCAGAGGAACCUGUCCUGUAAUCGAUAUUCCACGAUUAAUUUUACUUAUAUUAUUAGUUUACAUAUCGUCGUAGUUGAAUAUUUUAUAAGAAUUUUAAUAUUCAGUAUUUUUAAUAAGAAUAGAAAUCAGAUCAAGGUGUAGUUUAUAUAUAAGGAGAGAUGGGUUACAAUAAAAUUAUUUAAAAUGGAUUGGAAAAUGAGAUUUUUUCUUGAAGGUGGAUUUGAGAGUAAUUUUGAUUAUUUUAUUAAAAUGAUUUUAGCUCUAAAAUAUGC
rnacentral:rRNA from 1 species